AAUGUUGUUAAGGAAAUAACUCUUACUUACAAAACAGUAAUGUUAAGUGAAAAAAAUGGUGUUUAGCGUUAUAAACAAACAUCGGUGAUUUUGUUAAAAAAAGUUAUAACUAACAUUAAUUAAAAUCAAUAAAAUAUUAAUGAUGUCUUUGUUUUUAUUUCUUGUUCACGUGGAAAGAAAUGUGUGGUUCGUUAUUAUUUGGAUAACCAGAUGUGUAGGGGGAGUGAUG
rnacentral:lncRNA from 1 species